rnacentral:rRNA from 1 species
UACGUAGGGUGCAAGCGUUAAUCGGAAUUACUGGGCGUAAAGCGUGCGCAGGCGGUGAUGUAAGACAGAUGUGAAAUCCCCGGGCUUAACCUGGGAACUGCGCUUCUAACUGGCAGGCUUGAGUGUGGCAGAGGGGGGUGGAAUUCCACGUGUAGCAGUGAAAUGCGUAGAUAUUGGGAGGAACACCAGUGGCGAAGGCGGCUCACUGGACCGGAACUGACGCUGAGGCGCGAAAGCGUGGGGAGCAAACAGG